GAGGUUGUGGCUCAGUGGUAGAGCACUUGCCUAGCAUGUGGGAGGCACUGGGUUAGAUCCUCAGCACCACA
rnacentral:tRNA from 1 species